GCGGGUAGCUCAGUUGGUAGAGCACUGGACUGAAAAUCCAGGUGUCGCCGGUUCAAAUCCGGCUCCGCC
rnacentral:tRNA from 1 species